UGCAUCAUUUGACGUAGCGACAGAAGAAGCACGGGCUAACUCCGUGCCAGCAGCCGCGGUAAUACGGAGGGUGCGAGCGUUAUCGGAAUUACUGGGCGUAAAGCGCAUGCAGGUGGUUUGUUAAGUCAGAUGUGAAAGCCCGGGGCUCAAACCUCGGAAAUAGCAUUCGAAAAGGGGGCGCACAGAGUACAGUAGAGGGGGGUAGAAUUUCAGGUGUUGCGCUGUAAUGCGUAGAGAUAUGAAGGAAUACCGGUGGUGACGGCGGCCCCCGGGAUCGAUAUUGACACUAAGAUGCGAGAGCUUGGGGAGCAAUCAGGACAAGAUACCCUGGUGGUGCACGCCGUCAACGAUGUCUAUUAGGAGGUUGUGGCCAUGAGCCGUGGUCUUGGGAGAUAACGCGUUAAGUAGACCGCAGGGGGAGUACGGUCGCAAGAUUAAAACUCAAUGAAGCGAUGGGGUCCCGCACUAACGGUGGAGCCUGUGGUCUAUUUUGUUGCAACGCGAAGAACCUUCUUACUUUGACACAUAGAUAACUCUCUCAAGUCGGAUCGGUGCCUUAGGGAACUCUGAGACAGAUGGGCAUGGCUGUCGUCAUCUGUUGUUAAGAAAAUUUGGGUUAAGUCCCGCAACCAGCACAACCGUGUUCUUAGUGACCCAGCACUUUGGGCGGGAACUCCAGGGAGUCGGCCGGUGAAAAACCGGAGGAAGGUGGGGGUUAGGUCAGGUUUUCUUACCCGGUGAGUAGGGCUACACACAUGGUACAAGGCGCAUAGAGAGGGCAAGAGAGAAUAAAGAGUGAGUGAAUCCCAUAAAAUGUCCGGCGUCAUUCUGGGCAUUUGCAAUUUGACUAUGGGAAGUCAGGCCUGACACAAUC
rnacentral:rRNA from 1 species